rnacentral:rRNA from 1 species
AGAGUUUGAUCAUGGCUCAGGACGAACGCUGGCGGCGUGCCUAAUACAUGCAAGUCGAACGAGAAUUUCUUACACCGAGUGCUUGCACUCACCGUAAGAAAUUCGAGUGGCGGACGGGUGAGUAACACGUGGGUAACCUGCCCAAAAGAAGGGGAUAACAUUUGGAAACAAAUGCUAAUACCGUAUAACCAUGAUGACCGCAUGGUCAUUAUGUAAAAGGUGGUUUUGCUAUCGCUUUUGGAUGGACCCGCGGCGUAUUAACUAGUUGGUAGGGUAACGGCCUACCAAGGUGAUGAUACGUAGCCGAGUUGAGAGACUGAUCGGCCACAAUGGGACUGAGACACGGCCCAUACUCCUACGGGAGGCAGCAGUAGGGAAUCUUCCACAAUGGGCGCAAGCCUGAUGGAGCAACGCCGCGUGAAUGAAGAAGGUCUUCGGAUCGUAAAAUUCUGUUGUUAGAGAAGAAUAUGAGUAAUAGUAACUGAUUAUUCACUGACGGUAUCUAACCAGCAAGUCACGGCUAACUACGUGCCAGCAGCCGCGGUAAUACGUAGGUGGCAAGCGUUGUCCGGAUUUAUUGGGCGUAAAGGGAACGCAGGCUGUUUUUUAAGUCCGAUGUGAAAGCCUUCGGCUUAACCGAAGAAGUGCAUUGGAAACUGGGAGACUUGAGUGCAGAAGAGGAGAGUGGAACUCCAUGUGUAGCGGUGAAAUGCGUAGAUAUAUGGAAGAACACCAGUGGCGAAAGCGGCUCUCUGGUCUGUAACUGACGCUGAGGUUCGAAAGCAUGGGUAGCGAACAGGAUUAGAUACCCUGGUAGUCC